rnacentral:misc_RNA from 1 species
AAAAGGUGGAGGAGAAGGUGGGAACAACGGUGGAGGAGGUUGGGGAAACGGAGGAGGUGAAGGCGGAAACAACGGUGGAGGCGACAAGGGGGGAAAUGGCGGCGGAAAAGGUAGCGACUCUGGAUCCUGGGGUUCAGGAUCAUCUGGCUCCAGUGGUAGCUGGAAGCUGUUGAAGGCAUGAGAAACUUCUCCUUACGAUUUUAUGUACGAUAUGGCGAUGAGCCUCUACAUACGCCGUUAAUGAUAAUGAAA